CGGGAGGACCGUGAGGGCUUACACGUCGGGUCUCGUCUUUUUGUUGCCGAAAGGCCGCAAAUUGGUGGGGUGUCUGAAAACCCUUGAAUAUAAAACUUAGUUGCUUUGGCGGGCCGCCCUUGGGCGUCGGCCCCGGCUGACAGUGCCCGCCAGAGGCCCAAAACUCUAUUGUCUCUGACGUCUGAGUACUAUAUAAUAGUUAAAACUUUCAACAACGGAUCUCUUGGUUCUGGCAUCGAUGAAGAACGCAGCGAAAUGCGAUAAGUAAUGUGAAUUGCAGAAUUCAGUGAAUCAUCGAAUCUUUGAACGCACAUUGCGCCCCCUGGUAUUCCGGGGGGCAUGCCUGUUCGAGCGUCAUUAUGACCAAUCCCGCAAGGGGUCUUGGGGUCUCGCGGUUCGCUGCGGCCCUUAAAAUCAGUGGCGGCGCCAGCGGUGCUCUCAGCGUAGUAAUACUCCUCGCUCGGGAACCACGGUGGAUGCUCGCCAGCAACCUUUACUUUCUUAGGUUGACCUCGGACAGGUAGGA
rnacentral:rRNA from 1 species